rnacentral:rRNA from 1 species
CGACAGGCUUAACACAUGCAAGUCGAGGGGCAGCACAGGUAGCAAUACCGGGUGGCGACCGGCGCACGGGUGAGUAACGCGUAUGCAACUUGCCUAUCAGAGGGGGAUAACCCGGCGAAAGUCGGACUAAUACCGCAUGAAGCAGGGAUCCCGCAUGGGAAUAUUUGCUAAAGAUUCAUCGCUGAUAGAUAGGCAUGCGUUCCAUUAGGCAGUUGGCGGGGUAACGGCCCACCAAACCGACGAUGGAUAGGGGUUCUGAGAGGAAGGUCCCCCACAUUGGUACUGAGACACGGACCAAACUCCUACGGGAGGCAGCAGUGAGGAAUAUUGGUCAAUGGCCGAGAGGCUGAACCAGCCAAGUCGCGUGAGGGAUGAAGGUUCUAUGGAUCGUAAACCUCUUUUAUAAGGGAAUAAAGUGCGGGACGUGUCCCGUUUUGUAUGUACCUUAUGAAUAAGGAUCGGCUAACUCCGUGCCAGCAGCCGCGGUAAUACGGAGGAUCCGAGCGUUAUCCGGAUUUAUUGGGUUUAAAGGGUGCGUAGGCGGCCUUUUAAGUCAGCGGUGAAAGUCUGUGGCUCAACCAUAGAAUUGCCGUUGAAACUGGGGGGCUUGAGUAUGUUUGAGGCAGGCGGAAUGCGUGGUGUAGCGGUGAAAUGCAUAGAUAUCACGCAGAACCCCGAUUGCGAAGGCAGCCUGCCAAGCCAUGACUGACGCUGAUGCACGAAAGCGUGGGGAUCAAACAGGAUUAGAUACCCUGGUAGUCCACGCAGUAAACGAUGAUCACUAGCUGUUUGCGAUACACUGUAAGCGGCACAGCGAAAGCGUUAAGUGAUCCACCUGGGGAGUACGCCGGCAACGGUGAAACUCAAAGGAAUUGACGGGGGCCCGCACAAGCGGAGGAACAUGUGGUUUAAUUCGAUGAUACGCGAGGAACCUUACCCGGGUUUGAACGCAUUCGGACCGAGGUGGAAACACCUUUUCUAGCAAUAGCCGUUUGCGAGGUGCUGCAUGGUUGUCGUCAGCUCGUGCCGUGAGGUGUCGGCUUAAGUGUCAUAACGAGCGCAACCCUUGCCACUAGUUACUAACAGGUAAAGCUGAGGACUCUGGUGGGACUGCCAGCGUAAGCUGCGAGGAAGGCGGGGAUGACGUCAAAUCAGCACGGCCCUUACAUCCGGGGCGACACACGUGUUACAAUGGCGUGGACAAAGGGAAGCCACCUGGCGACAGGGAGCGAAUCCCCAAACCACGUCUCAGUUCGGAUCGGAGUCUGCAACCCGACUCCGUGAAGCUGGAUUCGCUAGUAAUCGCGCAUCAGCCAUGGCGCGGUGAAUACGUUCCCGGGCCUUGUACACACCGCCCGUCAAGCCAUGGGAGCCGGGGGUACCUGAAGUCCGUAACCGCGAGGAUCGGCCUAGGGUAAAACUGGUGACUGGG